rnacentral:rRNA from 1 species
UACAGAGGGUGCGAGCGUUGUCCGGAAUCACUGGGCGUAAAGGGCGCGUAGGUGGCGCUGCAAGUCGGUGGUGAAAGCUCGCCGCUUAACGGCGAGUCGGCCAUCGAAACUGCAGGGCUCGAGCACUGUAGGGGCUAAUGGAAUUCCGGGUGUAGCGGUGGAAUGCGUAGAGAUCCGGAAGAACACCAGUGGCGAAGGCGGCCUUCUGGACAGUGACUGACGCUGAGACGCGAAAGCGUGGGGAGCAAACAGG